rnacentral:rRNA from 1 species
CCUACGGGGGGCAGCAGUGAGGAAUAUUGGUCAAUGGACGAGAGUCUGAACCAGCCAAGUAGCGUGAAGGAUGACUGCCCUACGGGUGGUAAACUUCGUUUAUAAAGGAAUAAAGUGAGGCACGUGUGCCGUUUUGUAUGUACGUUAUGAAUAAGGAUCGGCUAACUCCGUGCCAGCAGCCGCGGUAAUACGGAGGAUCCGAGCGUUAUCCGGAUUUAUUGGGUUUAAAGGGAGCGUAGAUGGGUUGGUAAGUCAGUUGUGAAAGUUUGCGGCUCAACCGUAAAAUGGCACUUGAUACUGGCAGUCUUGCGUACAGUUGAGGUAGGCGGAAUUCGUGUUGUAGC